rnacentral:rRNA from 1 species
UACAGAGGUCUCAAGCGUUGUUCGGAUUCAUUGGGCGUAAAGGGCGCGUAGGCGGCGCGGGCAGUCAACGGUGAAAGCUCGGGGCUCAACCCCGAGUCGGCCGUCGAUACUCCCGUGCUUGAGCACUGUAGAGGCAGAUGGAAUUCCGGGUGUAGCGGUGGAAUGCGUAGAGAUCCGGAAGAACACCGGUGGCGAAGGCGGUCUGCUGGGCAGUAGCUGACGCUGAUGCGCGACAGCGUGGGGAGCAAACAGG